rnacentral:misc_RNA from 1 species
AAAGUCGUAACAAGGUCUCCGUAGGUGAACCUGCGGAGGGAUCAUCAUAGGAAAAAACACAUUUUAUGUGUGUGUGUGGAGGGGAGGUUUGCUUGGUUUGGUUAGGAGUUGUGUUUGGUGUGUGUGUAUUCGCCAUCUCCAUACUCUGCACCUUUUCUUGCAUUCUCCUCCCUUUACAUGUGCACAUAUCAAACAAACGAUCGCAACUAUGUGAUAUCUUAGCGCAAACAUGAGGAAAAAGAUUGACUUGCUUCUUUUUCUCUCGCGCUCUAUCUGAAAAGUGCUUGCCUGAUACUGAAUAAUGUCAAUGCCAUUCAUGGUGUUGAUAUGAAUUGGAACAAGAAAUACAACUUUCAACAACGGAUCUCUUGGCUCUC